UACGUAGGGCGCAAGCGUUGUCCGGAAUUAUUGGGCGUAAAGAGCUCGUAGGCGGCCUGUUACGUCUGCUGUGAAAUCCCGGGGCUUAACCCCGGGCGUGCAGUGGAUACGGGCAGGCUGGAGGCAGGCAGGGGAGAACGGAAUUCCCGGUGUAGCGGUGAAAUGCGCAGAUAUCAGGAGGAACACCAAUAGCGAAGGCAGCUCGCUGGGACGGUACUGACGCUAAGGCGCGAAAGCGUGGGGAGCGAACAGG
rnacentral:rRNA from 1 species